GACAGAGGCCUCGAGCGUUAGGCGGAAUCACUGGGCUUAAAGCGUGUGUAGGCGGGCCCGUAAGUGUCUUGUGAAAUCCCACGGCUCAACCGUGGAACUGCUGGGCAUACUGCGGGUCUUGGGCCAACUAGGGGCAGCCGGAACAAGCGGUGGAGCGGUGAAAUUCGUAGAUAUUCGGUAGAACACCAGUGGCGAAGGCGACUCACUGGCCCGUUACUGACGCUGAGGCGCGAAAGCGUGGGGAGCAAACAGG
rnacentral:rRNA from 1 species